rnacentral:rRNA from 1 species
GUGAUCGAAAGAUGAAAAGCACUUUGGAAAGAGAGUUAAACAGUACGUGAAAUUGUUGAAAGGGAAGCGCUUGCAAUCAGACUUGGGCCGGGGCGAUCAUCGGGGGUUCUCCCCCGUGCACUCGCCUCGGCACAGGCCAGCAUCGGUUCUCGCGGUUGGAUAAAGGCCUAGGGAACGUAGCCCCUCUCGGGGGGUGUUAUAGCCCUAGGCGUCAUGCAGCCAGCGGGGACCGAGGACCGCGCUUCGGCUAGGAUGCUGGCGUAAUGGUUGUAAGCGACCCGUCUUGAAACACGGACCAAGGAGUCUAACAUCUAUGCGAGUGUUUGGGUGUCAAACCCAUGCGCGAAAUGAAAGUGAACGGAGGUGAGAACCCGUACGGGCGCAUCAUCGACCGAUCCUGAUGUCUUCGGAUGGAUUUGAGUAAGAGCAUAGCUGUUGGGACCCGAAAGAUGGUGAACUAUGCGUGAAUAGGGUGAAGCCAGAGGAAACUCUGGUGGAGGCUCGCAGCGGUUCUGACGUGCAAAUCGAUCGUCAAAUUUGCGUAUAGGGGCGAAAGACUAAUCGAACCAUUAACUACUAGGUGGUUAAGAGGCGGCUCAAAGUGCCCGUCUAGUCCCAGGUCUCGGGGCGACACUGUCAAAUUGCGGGGACGUCCUUAGAGCCUAGACUACCGCAGCCGGUCGAAAGACGCGGCGCGCACCGGGUUAACGACCUCGGGGAUGGUAACAACGUCUAGGAUUGGAUAAUCCGCAGCCAAGUCCUACGGGCCGUCACGCGCCUACGGAUGCAGUUCACAGACUAGAUGGCAGUGGGUAGGGCGUGCCAACACACCCUGCUUAAGAUAUAGUCGAACCGCUGAGAGAUCAGUCGGGUGGAUGAAGCGCCCAGGUAGCGAUCCCUCCUCGCGAGGUACCUGGGCGCCCGAGCCAUCCGGGGGAGGCA